rnacentral:rRNA from 1 species
ACGGCCGCAAGGUUAAAACUCAAAUGAAUUGACGGGGGCCCGCACAAGCGGUGGAGCAUGUGGUUUAAUUCGAUGCAACGCGAAGAACCUUACCUGGUCUUGACAUCCACGGAAGUUUUCAGAGAUGAGAAUGUGCCUUCGGGAACCGUGAGACAGGUGCUGCAUGGCUGUCGUCAGCUCGUGUUGUGAAAUGUUGGGUUAAGUCCCGCAACGAGCGCAACCCUUAUCCUUUGUUGCCAGCGGUCCGGCCGGGAACUCAAAGGAGACUGCCAGUGAUAAACUGGAGGAAGGUGGGGAUGACGUCAAGUCAUCAUGGCCCUUACGACCAGGGCUACACACGUGCUACAAUGGCGCAUACAAAGAGAAGCGACCUCGCGAGAGCAAGCGGACCUCAUAAAGUGCGUCGUAGUCCGGAUUGGAGUCUGCAACUCGACUCCAUGAAGUCGGAAUCGCUAGUAAUCGUGGAUCAGAAUGCCACGGUGAAUACGUUCCCGGGCCUUGUACACACCGCCCGUCACACCAUGGGAGUGGGUU